rnacentral:rRNA from 1 species
UCAGACGAUGCGUCAUGCAUAUCAAUAAGCGGAGGAAAAGAAACUAACAAGGAUUCCCUCAGUAACGGCGAGUGAAGCGGGAAGAGCUCAAAUUUGAAAUCUUGAAAGGUCACCUUUCACGAAUUGUAGUUUAAAGAAGUGUUUUCUGUUACGAUCGUAAUAUAAGUUCUUUGGAAUAGGACAUCACAGAGGGUGAGAAUCCCGUCUAUGAUUGCGAUUUGUAGCUUUGUGAUACACUUUCAAAGAGUCGGGUUGUUUGGGAAUGCAGCCCAAAACGGGAGGUAAAUUUCAUCUAAGGCUAAGUAUUGGCGAGAGACCGAUAGCGAACAAGUACCGUGAGGGAAAGAUGAAAAGAACUUUGAAAAGAGAGUUAAAUAGUACGUGAAAUUGUCAAAAGGGAAGCGUUUAACACCAGUGUUGUUUUCUGAAAAUCAACCUCUGUUAGCUUUAUGCAUGUUUGUUUAGACCUAAUCAGCUAUCUUGCAUGUUCUAUUGUUUGCAGUGGUGCACUUUUCAGUUUACAGGUCAACAUCAGUUUUUUUUACCGUAAAAAAGUUAAAGAAAGGUAGCUCAUGGCUCCGGUCGUGAGUGUUAUAGUCUUUUUCCUAUGCGGUAGGAGAGACUGAGGUCUGCAGUGUAGGCUAUUUGGCUAGAUACUCAGGUGCUAUGUGAUACCAUUUCAUAAACAACUUGUUGAUUAUGUUUUGUCUAUUGCAUACUCGCUUGUACUAUCAUACCUACGCUUAGGAUGUUGACUGAUAUGUAGUCGUA